AUCACUUCUCAGCCUUUUGGCUAAGGUCAAGUGUAAUAUCUGUUCUUAUCAGUUUAAUAUCUGAUACAUCCUCUAGAGGAUAAUGAGGAUAAUGUAUUAAAUGGAGUUUUGGAGCAGGGAGUUGGAAUAGAAGCUUGCUCCAUCCUCUCCACAAAUUGACCCGGUAUUGCAGUAACAGUCCUCCCCAACUUUCUCAUA